rnacentral:lncRNA from 1 species
GAAGGUUUAAAAGUGUAAAAUUGAAAUUGAGUAGCUUGUAGGAGUGAAUUUGGGUUUUAAAGUGUCAAGUUAAGUUAUAGCAGUGUUUUCAGAGUUUUCUCAAGGUUUGGAGGAUCCUAAAGGCCUCUAGAAGUUGGGGGUAAAGUGUUCAAAGUGAGAAAAUUGAGUUUUUAGCUUACUGAUAGCGCUGAGUGCCCAAACAAGUCGUUGAGCACCCAUUUUUCAGUGGCCAUGGCGCUAAGCGCCAACCCCUGGACGCCUGGGCGCCACUAGACACCAUUGCACCCGUUUCGGGGAGGGGGGGUUCAAGGUUCUAGAUGUCCGUUUUGGACGUUCUUUAGGUCGUUU